AGUCGAACGCGUGUAGCAAUACACGAGUGGCGGACGGGUGAGUAACGCGUGGGAACCUGCCCAGUGGUAGGGAAUAACUGCGGGAAACUGCAGCUAAUACCCUAUGAGCCCUACGGGGGAAAGAUUUAUCGCCAUUGGAGGGGCCCGCGUCGGAUUAGCUAGUUGGUAGGGUAACGGCCUACCAAGGCGACGAUCCGUAGCUGGUCUGAGAGGAUGAUCAGCCACACUGGGACUGAGAUACGGCCCAGACUCCUACGGGAGGCAGCAGUGGGGAAUAUUGGACAAUGGGGGAAACCCUGAUCCAGCAAUGCCGCGUGAGUGAAGAAGGCCUUAGGGUUGUAAAGCUCUUUCGGCGGGGACGAUGAUGACGGUACCCGCAGAAGAAGCCCCGGCUAACUUCGUGCCAGCAGCCGCGGUAAUACGAAGGGGGCUAGCGUUGUUCGGAAUCACUGGGCGUAAAGGGCGCGUAGGCGGCUUGACAAGUCAGGUGUGAAAGCCCCGGGCUCAACCCGGGAAUUGCACUUGAUACUGUCUCGCUAGAGUCCGGGAGAGGAUGGCGGAAUUCCCAGUGUAGAGGUGAAAUUCGUAGAUAUUGGGAAGAACACCGGUGGCGAAGGCGGCCAUCUGGACCGGUACUGACGCUGAGGCGCGAAAGCGUGGGGAGCAAACAGGAUUAGAUACCCUGGUAGUCCACGCCGUAAACGAUGA
rnacentral:rRNA from 1 species